UGUGUAUAUUAUACCUUCUCGAAGAGGCUAAGAGACGCGAUGAGUUGGAAAAAAGACGCCAAAGUCGCAGAAUACGAAACCUUCGGCAAAUAUCAUCCCACCGCGACUACGUCCUAAAUUUCCGACUCACCAGGGACCUCAUAUCUGCAUUGGAAGGAGAUCUUGUACCAUUACUGCCUCCACGAGUACGACGUGGUGGUCUCAGUCAUCAUAUUAAGAUUCUAUGCACUCUAUCAUUUUUGGCCACCGGAAGUUACCAAAACAUAGUUGGAAAGUCACUUUUCAACUAUGUUUCACAGCCAUCUGCUAGCCGGGCUAUUCGUUUAAUAGUCAAUGCCCUUAAUCACCCCAACAUUGUAAAGAAAUACAUAAGAUUUCCACAAAAUCUAAAUGAAAGAGAAAUAAAAAAACAAGGAUUUUACAAUAAGUUUAAAAUGCCCGGUGUAAUUGGCUGUGUUGAUGGGACUUUGGUGGCCAUGGUUCGACCUAAAACAAACGAAGACCGAUACUACUGUAGAAAAGAUAAAUGACUGUGAUCUCAAUAUACUGCAUGUGGACGCUACAUUUGGAGGAGCUACACAUGACAGUUUUAUAUUUAAUAACACCGUUAUCCAGCACCACCUAGAACAGAUAAAUAAUGCAGGAGAGACAGCAUAUUUGUUAGGUGAUUCUGCAUACGGACAGAGGUCCUACCUGAUGACCCCAUGUGCCAACCCCGAGCCUGGUUCUCCAGAAGAAUACUACAAUACUGUGCAUAGCACAGCAAGAAAUAGCGUAGAGAGAACCAUAGGAAUUUUAAAAGGCAGAUUUAGAUGCCUUCUGGUUCAUAGAGUGUUACACUAUGAUCCAGAAAUGGUUUCUAAAAUUGUUAUAGCUUGCUGUGUUUUGCAUAAUAUUUGUAACAGAGCUGGAUUACCAGCCUUCGAGUUACCAUAUAAUUUGCAACAUGAAGAAAUUCGGUUGCAAAGUGAGAGUCAUCACGUAGAGCCUGCUGCAUCUGUAGGCGCUUUGGAGCAUGGUCGCGCUUGUCGCCGGCAACUUAUAAAUAUAUUAUGGCGUGGAAGGCGAUAAAUAUUUAUUUUUUUGCAUGUCUUAGUUAAGGUAGUUAAGAAAUAGUAUUUAUUGAAAUGUUCAUUUUAUUUUAUCAUUAAACUAUAAUAAUAAUACGUCGGUAAACCAACAAUGUCAA